AAUGAACGCUGGCGGUAGGCCUAACACAUGCAAGUCGAACGGCAGCCCAGUAGAGGCUUGCUCUUGCGAGUGACGAGUGGCGGCAGGGUGAGGAAUACAUCGGAAUCUACUUUUUCGGGGGGGAAUACGGAGUGCAACUUACGCUGAUACCGCAUACUGCCUACGGGUUGAAGCGGGGGAGCUUAGGACCUUGCGCGGUUGAAUGCGCCGAUAGCCGAUUAGCUAGUUGGAGGGGUAGAGGCCCACCAAGGCGACGAUCCGUAGCUGCUAUGAGAGGAUGAUUACAUAGCUUGGAACUGAGGAACGGCCCAGACUCCUACGGUAGGCAGCAGUCGGGAAUCUUGGACAAUGGGCGCAAGCCUGAUCCAGCCAUACCGCGUGGGUGAAGAAGGACUUCGGGUUGGAAAGCCCUGUUGUUCGGAAAGAAGAGCAGCAGGUUAAUACACCGCUGUUCUGACGGUACCCAAAGAAUAAGCACCGGCUAACUUCGUG
rnacentral:rRNA from 1 species